UACGUAGGGCGCAAGCGUUAUCCGGAAUUAUUGGGCGUAAAGAGCUCGUAGGCGGUUUGUCGCGUCUGCCGUGAAAGUCCGGGGCUCAACUCCGGAUCUGCGGUGGGUACGGGCAGACUAGAGUGAUGUAGGGGAGACUGGAAUUCCUGGUGUAGCGGUGGAAUGCGCAGAUAUCAGGAGGAACACCGAUGGCGAAGGCAGGUCUCUGGGCACUACUGACGCUGAGGAGCGAAAGCAUGGGGAGCGAACAGG
rnacentral:rRNA from 1 species